rnacentral:rRNA from 1 species
AUUGAACGCUGGCGGCAGGCCUAACACAUGCAAGUCGAACGAGUGGCGGACUGGUGAGUAAUGUCUGGGAAACUGCCCGAUGGAGGGGGAUAACUACUGGUAACGGUCGCUAAUACCGCAUACCAUCGGAUGUGCCCAGAUGUGAUUGGCUAGUAGGUGGGGUAAUGGCUCACCUAGGCGAAGAUCCCUAGCUGGUCUGAGAGGAUGACCAGCCACACUGGAACUGAGACACGGUCCAGACUCCUACGGGAGGCAGAAGUGGGGAAUAUUGCACAAUGGGCGCAAGCCUGAGGCAGCCAUGCCGCGUGUAUGAAGAAGGCCUUCGGGUUGUAAAGUACUUUCAGCGGGGAGGCGUUACCCGAAGAAGAAGCACCGGCUAACUCCGUGCCAGCAGCCGCGGUAAUUC